ACAAACUUGGUCAUUUAGAGGAAGUAAAAGUCGUAACAAGGUCUCCGUUGGUGAACCAGCGGAGGGAUCAUUAGAGAGUGUUAUAACUCCCAAACCCAUGUGAACAUACCUCUCGUUGCCUCGGCGGAGGGACUACCCUCCCGCCGCCGCUGGCCCGCGAAACCCUGUUUUAUUUUGGAACUCUGAAUCAUAAAGCAAAUAAGUUAAAACUUUCAACAACGGAUCUCUUGGUUCUGGCAUCGAUGAAGAACGCAGC
rnacentral:misc_RNA from 1 species